UUGGAAUAAAAGUAGUUAAGUUCUUCAAAACUCAAAGAAUUUGGCGGCUAUUUUUAUUUUAGAGGAACCUGUAUUUUAAUCGAUAAACCACGUUAAUUUUUACCUUUAGCCAUUUUAUUUGUAUACCUCUAUGUUUAAUAUAAAUUUUAUAGGAUUUUUAUUUUAGAUUCAUCAGUUAGAUUAGGUCAAGGAGCAGUUUUUAAAAGGAAUUUAUGGGUUACAUUUAUUAAAAUUUAAUGGCUAGAUUUUUUUUUAUAAAAAUUUAUUUUAAGGAUUUAAAAGUAAUAUUUAUUAAUUAAUUAUUAUGAAUUAU
rnacentral:rRNA from 1 species